GAUGAACGCUGGCGGCGUGCUUAACACAUGCAAGUCGAACGAUGAAGCCCAGCUUGCUGGGUGGAUUAGUGGCGAACGGGUGAGUAACACGUGAGUAACCUGCCCUUAACUCUGGGAUAAGCCUGGGAAACUGGGUCUAAUACCGGAGAGGAGCGUCCACCGCAUGGGGGGUGUUGGAAAGAUUUAUCGGUUUUGGAUGGACUCGCGGCCUAUCAGCUUGUUGGUGGGGUAAUGGCUCACCAAGGCGCCGACGGGUAGCCGGCCUGAGAGGGUGACCGGCCACACUGGGACUGAGACACGGCCCAGACUCCUACGGGAGGCAGCAGUGGGGAAUAUUGCACAAUGGGCGCAAGCCUGAUGCAGCAACGCCGCGUGAGGGAUGACGGCCUUCGGGUUGUAAACCUCUUUCAGUAGGGAAGAAGCGAAAGUGACGGUACCUGCAGAAGAAGCACCGGCUAACUACGUG
rnacentral:rRNA from 1 species